UUAAGAAUCUUGCGCAAUGGGCGAAAGCCUGACGCAGCGACGCCGCGUGGAUGAUGAAGGCCUUCGGGUUGUAAAAUCCAGUAGGCAGGGAAGAAUAAGUAACGGGUAAUAUUCGUUGUGAUGACGGUACCUGCCUAAAGCCUCGGCUAACUACGUGCCAGCAGCCGCGGUAAUACGUAUGAGGCGAGCGUUGUUCGGAAUUAUUGGGCAUAAAGGGCGUGUAGGCGGGGGAUUAAGUUAGGUGUGAAAGCCUCGGGCUUAACCCGAGAAUUGCAUCUAAUACUGAUUCUCUUGAGUUCGGGAGAGGAGAGCGGAAUUCCCGGUGUAGCGGUGAAAUGCGUAGAUAUCGGGAAGAACACCAGUGGCGAAGGCGGCUCUCUGGCCACGAACUGACGCUAAGGCGCGAAAGCGUGGGGAGCGAACGGG
rnacentral:rRNA from 1 species